GAUGAACGCUGGCGGCGUGCCUAAUACAUGCAAGUCGAGCGAACAGACGAGGAGCUUGCUCCUCUGACGUUAGCGGCGGACGGGUGAGUAACACGUGGAUAACCUACCUAUAAGACUGGGAUAACCUCGGGAAACCGGAGCUAAUACCGGAUAAUAUAUUGAACCGCAUGGUUCAAUAGUGAAAGACGGUUUUGCUGUCACUUAUAGAUGGAUCUGCGCCGCAUUAGCUAGUUGGUAAGGUAACGGCUUACCAAGGCAACGAUGCGUAGCCGACCUGAGAGGCUGAUCGGCCGCACUAGAACUUGGACGGGGACCAGGCUCCUGCGGGAGGCAGCAGUAGGGUAUCUUCCGCAGUAGGCGAGAGCCUGGCAGAACAGGGCCGCGUGAGUUGUGGAGGUCUUCGGAUCGUAAAGCUCUGUUAUUAGGGAAGAACAAAUGUGUCAGUAACUAUGCACGUCUUGACGGUACCUAAUCAGGAAGCAACGGCUAACUACGUG
rnacentral:rRNA from 1 species